rnacentral:rRNA from 1 species
UUGGAGGGCAAGUCUGGUGCCAGCAGCCGCGGUAAUUCCAGCUCCAAUAGCGUAUAUUAAAGUUGUUGCAGUUAAAAAGCUCGUAGUUGAAUUUCGGGGUUAGUAGGUUGGUCAUGCCUCUGGUAUGUACUGGUCUCACUGAUUCCUCCUUCCUGAUGAGCCGUAAUGCCAUUAAUUUGGUGUUGCGGGGAAUUUGGACUGUUACUUUGAAAAAAUUAGAGUGUUUAAAGCAAGCUAACGCUUGAAUACAUUAGCAUGGAAUAAUGAAAUAGGACGUUCGAUCCUAUUUUGUUGGUUUCUAGGAUUGACGUAAUGAUUAAUAGGGAUAGUUGGGGGCAUUAGUAUUCAAUUGUCAGAGGUGAAAUUCUUGGAUUUAUUGAAGACUAACUACUGCGGAAGCAUUUGCCAAGGAUGUUUUCAUUAAUCAAGAACGAAAGUUAGGGGAUCGAAGACGAUCAGAUACCGUCGUAGUCUUAACCAUAAACUAUGCCGACUAGGGAUCGGAUGAUGUUAAUUUUUUAAUGACUCAUUCGGCGCCUUACGGGAAAC